rnacentral:rRNA from 1 species
UACGAAGGGGGCUAGCGUUGCUCGGAAUCACUGGGCGUAAAGGGUGCGUAGGCGGGUCUUUAGGUCAGGGGUGAAAUCCUGGAGCUCAACUCCAGAACUGCCUUUGAUACUGAAGAUCUUGAGUUCGGGAGAGGUGAGUGGAACUGCGAGUGUAGAGGUGAAAUUCGUAGAUAUUCGCAAGAACACCAGUGGCGAAGGCGGCUCACUGGCCCGAUACUGACGCUGAGGCACGAAAGCGUGGGGAGCAAACAGGG